GCUUAACACAUGCGAGUCGAGCGAGAAUCGUUUUGCUGAAGGCUUCGGUCUGACGCAGAAUGAGGAAAGCGGCGAACGGGUGAGUAACGCGUGGGCAACCUGGCCUUAAGAAAAGGAUAGCCCCCGGAAACGGGGAGUAAUACUUUAUGAGAAUAGAAAAGGGCAUCCUAUUUCUAUUCAAAGCGCAAGCGCUUAAGGAUGGGCCCGCAUAUCAUUAGCUAGUUGGUGAGAUAACAGCCCACCAAGGCAACGAUGAUUAGCCGGUCUGAGAGGGCGAACGGCCACAUUGGAACUGAGAGACGGUCCAAACUCCUACGGGAGGCAGCAGUGGGGAAUAUUGCGCAAUGGAGAAGAACUCUGACGCAGCAAUACCGCGUGAGCGAAGAAGGUCUUCGGAUCGUAAAGCUCUGUUAUCAGGGAAGAAGAAAAUGACGGUACCUGAUGAGCAAGUCCCGGCUAACUACGUGCCAGCAGCCGCCGUAA
rnacentral:rRNA from 1 species